rnacentral:rRNA from 1 species
CCUACGGGGGGCUGCAGUGGGGAAUAUUGCACAAUGGGCGAAAGCCUGAUGCAGCGACGCCGCGUGGAGGAUGAAGGCCUUCGGGUCGUAAACUCCUGUCUGGGGGGAUGAACACUGACAGUACCCCCGGAGGAAGCCCCGGCUAACUACGUGCCAGCAGCCGCGGUAAUACGUAGGGGGCGAGCGUUGUCCGGAAUUACUGGGCGUAAAGCGCGCGCAGGCGGCUUGUUAAGUCAGGUGUCAAAAUGCGGGGCUCAACCCCGUAUCGCACUUGAAACUGGCAGGCUUGAGUGCAGGAGAGGGAAGUGGAAUUCCUAGUGUAGCGGUGAAAUGCGUAGAUAUUAGGAGGAACACCAGUGGCGAAGGCGACUUCCUGGACUGUAACUGACGCUCAGGCGCGAAAGCUAGGGGAGCAAACAGGAUUAGAUACCCCUGUAGUC